rnacentral:rRNA from 1 species
GGGCACAAUGUCAACAAUUGCGCAGCUUGGGCGCAACCUCAUCCAGUUGCCACGUUCUUUGGUAGUUCUGCUUUAGGACUAGGAUUCUAUCACAUUGACGCUCAUGUGGGUCGUGAAGCAAAUUGGCUUAAUUUCAGGAAUUGUGGAGAAGUGUGGGUCAAUAAAGGAGAAAUCACCAAGUCUGAUCUGGUUAAGAAUCUGUCUGGAAUAUUUUGCAAAAACAAACAAUGGACAUGGCAGAUCAGACCAUUGACAGAAAAGAAGUUCCUGGUCAGAUUCCCACCCUGGAAAGAUGUGGAAGAGUUGAUUGAGUUCCCUGCCUUCGACUCUCCUAUCGAUGGAGUGUCUAUGUCAGUUGAGAAAUGGACCGGUGCAAUUGACCCAUUCAGCGAGCUUACUGAAGCCUGGGUUUGUAUUGAGGGCUUUUCUAAAUGGUGCACAUGGAAGGUCCUAUCACAGAUUGCAUCUUGUUUUGGAAUCCCUGUGGAUGUGGAUUGGAAUGGCCUAAUGAAGAGUUUCUAUGAGAAAGUGAGAGUCAAGAUUGCUUGCAGAGACCCAGCUAAGAUCCCCUUUGAACAGAUCAUGGAGAUGAGGAAAAAACUUUAUAUCUUAUCCUUUACAGUGGAAGGUUUUGAGCAGAUAGGAGCUUAUGAUCCUAAUGAUGACAAUGGGCCUACUGACAUAGCCGUGGAUGAUGACAACAAAGCAAUUGAAGAUGAGGAACUGGACAAGGACAUCCCGGAGGAUGGAGAGGAACCCAUUGAUGAUCUAGACCUGGCCAACAGGGCCUCCAACUCGAAAACCCCAACUGGGAAAAAAGCAAAUGAUGAUGGUGUUGCCUUCCAUCCUGCUGCUCUGUUAGAGGCAUGCGUCUCUUCUGUGAGAGCAAGAAGACUGAAGGAAAAACCAAGACUCAGAGCAUGUGCUCGUCCAUACCCUUCUCUGAGGCGGCCAGAAUCCUUAGCACCCCCAGCAAAUCCUAUGAUGUCAAGGCACUCACUACGCCGUUGA